rnacentral:rRNA from 1 species
CAAUAGCGUAUAUUAAUGUUGUUGCAGUUAAAAAGCUCGUAGUUGGAUUUCUGGUGGAAGCGACCGGUCCGCCCCUCACGGGGUGUGCACUAGCGUCUGUCUUUUGCCAUCCUUGCGAAGAAGCGGUGUGGCAUUAAGUUGUCGCGCCGUCUGACUCGCAUCGUUUACUGUGAAAAAAUUAGAGUGUUUAAAGCAGGCAAUUGCUGUGAAUACAUUAGCAUGGAAUAAUAAGAUAGGACUUUGGUACUAUUUUGUUGGUUUGCAUAUCAAAGUAAUGAUUAACAGGGACAGUUGGGGGUAUUCGUAUUUCGUUGUCAGAGGUGAAAUUCUUGGAUUUAUGAAAGACGAACUACUGCGAAAGCAUUUACCAAGGAUGUUUNCAUUA